AGAGCAAGAGGACGGGGCCUAUUGUAACGAAAUGUUUGAAUCAGAUGCCAUCUGGGAUGCAAAGAGACUUGCUAUCGUGCAUGUGCAUUGAAACGACGGGGAUGAAAAUAAAAAUGACUGCAGGCGGACUGUUCUGUUUGGACAAGGAAAUGCUCUUGACAUCGGUGUACACAUGCACGCUCAACUUGGCCAUCCUGAUGCAGGCCUUCAUCACAGACCAGAAAGCAGGCCGGGCUGGCGAAAACGAAUAAACUCGCGUUUCAUCUUAAAUAAUCAAUUAAGGCGACGCGGAAAAGGCCAGCAUAAAAGCAAAACAAUUUGUUUUCGGGGCCGCCGCACUUCUUUUCAUCAGUGCCCGAUCAAUUUUGAAUGCCGCGGAAAAGUUUAGUGCCAAUAAAGGCGAGCCGCUCCGAAUCCAGCGCUCGUUUUGCGUUUUGAAUUCUGCACCCGAGCGAGCGCGAGUGCAAAACGGAAAGCCAUCUCCUCAAGCGCUGCACUAUAAAACGGAAGAGCGAACGACAAGUGGAACGAGCGAAAAAAUCGAAACUGCCGCCGCUCGUCGUAAAAACGCCGCUCAAUUGCAUUGCUUUUUAUUAUGUAGCUAAACAACAAAAAGCCGCUGCUAUAUCGGUUCGCGGAAAUUGCGGCCGCCGCCGA